GCACAAUAUAAGCCCAUUUGAGAGGAGACCUUUAGGCACAAGAACAUGAUGGGUCGAGUCGGUGCUUAUGAGAGGCAGCAGGAUGGCACUGGGGAAGAGAAUGAAACAGCCAUGGCGCCCAGCAUGUUAGGCCAAUACAUGCCUCAGUGGAAAUGGAAAUCUUCCUACCUGAUUUAUAUGCUGCUGGCAAUUGCUUUUCUGCUGAUCAUCAUAUUGUUUGGGAUUGUGACUUCCAAGGUGCCACCACUUGCUUCACACUCGAACAAAGCAGAUGUCAAACCAAUUCCUCAGCAGGUUUACGGAUGUGAGUUUUUGCUCAUUCAUUGACUCUUCCUAACUUUCAGGG
rnacentral:lncRNA from 11 species